GUAUUAGCUGCUAUUCAAGAUGCCUUGAUUAUAAGAGAUUCAGAGAGAUCUGCAAUGAAAACGGAGCAUAUCUAUUUGCUGAUAUGGCUCAUGUUAGUGGUCUUGUCGCUGCUGGCGUUAUUCCGUCUCCAUUUGAGUUCAGUGAUGUUUGUGGCCACAACGACUCACAAAACUUUACGAGGACCAAGAGCGGGGAUUAUUUUCUACAGGAAAACUCCUCACCCAUCGACCAAGCAUGAAGGCAAGUUUGAUCUUGAAACUAAAAUUAAUGAGGCAGUAUUCCCGGACUUCAAGGUGGACCACAUAACAAUGCAAUUGCUGGGAUUGCCACUGCUAUGCAUCAAGCAAGCACUCCGGAAUUUAAGUACUAUCAAACUCAGGUCAUAGAAAAUGCCAGACAUCUUGGAGUAUGUUUGACUAAUCUAAACUACAAGAUUGUCACGGGUGGUACAGACGUUCAUUUAAUUCUCGUUGAUCUCAGCCCUAAAAAAGUGUCUGGUUCCAAAGCUGAGCUGAUUCUCGAAGAAAUUGGAAUUGCUUGCAAAAAAACACAGGUAUUAUAAAAUUGUUAAAUCUCUUUGUCCUAGGUUUUUAUCCUGUUUUGAUACUGUCACCUUCAAUGAGAGCUAUAAGAAAAAAAAAUGAAUAAGGGAGAAGUUAUUGAAAGUUCUAGAUAAGAUAGAGGAGCUUUCCUUCUUUAUUGAUCAUUAUUGAAAGUAGCUGAUCAGUCUGACUCUACACCUGCUUUGUCAAGGGAAUCUUUGUGAAUACUUUGGUCCGGUUGUUAAGACCAGUCUUCAAUCUCUGGCCCUAAAAUUUGCCCGUCAUAGCUGUGGUGUCAUCGUGUUACUCACUGUCACUAGUGUGUCAUUUAUUAACUUGUCCUCCAGUCCCACUUUAGAACAAUUUUUUUUCAAGGUUCUAUAUGUGUAUGUUUUUGAUUCAAUCUUUAUUUGACACCAAGUGUGAAGGCACCAAACCAAAGUUGUAUUUUGUUUGGCAUAACAGUUGUAACUGUAACACAUCAGUCCGUAACAUUCCUAUUUUGUUUGAAUUUUACCAAUUAAUAGUGGUUAGGGCUUACCUAAUUGGAAUUUUUUUUUGUAGAGCCAGGAUUUUUGGUAGUUUUACCAUUGAAAUCUGAUACUUCACAAAAGUGAUAGGCGACAAAAAUUUUAAGUUGACCAAUUUUUCACAAUUAAAUUGAAACAAAGUUGAUCGAGAAUCUGAAUCUGACCAAAGACAUCGCAUUAUCUUCAAGCUGUGAGCGAUUUAUUUAAAUUUGUGCCUCUAGGUGUAUCAAGCUCUAUUAGAAUUUUGAAUAUCAAAAAUGAGAGAUUAAAACCAGAAAUAGCUUCAUUCAAACCUGUGUUUUACUGAACGGGUAUUGGAAACUGUCAAGCUCCAGUUUGGUUUGACUUUUUUAGACGUUUUUGUAAAAUUAUACUAAAUUAUUCUGGAAACAUUCCUUCAUUGUAGUGGUACCAAUUUUGCGAUUUAAGUUUUUUUAACUGAGAUCCUUUUUCCUGUAGAUGGCCAAGGCCUUAACCCUCUAUGGCAUGAAUUAAUUUUGGAUCUCAGAUUCUAGGAGACACCGAUCUAUUUUGGAGCUUGCAUUAAAAAAUAAGAGUAUCAAAUUUGUUUUCAAAAUUUUGAAGUUAAGGGAAUCUAUUUUCGAAAAAAGGAAAAAAACUAAUGAAAUUUUGCAAAAUCAUGGUACAGGGGCAAUAUUCAGUUUUUAAAAAUACGGUGUUACAAUUCUUAACGCUAUGCCGUUAGAGGUUAAAUACAAACUUUUAAUUUUUUAUUGAUUAAUUUACUCCAAAAAAACUCCAACUUACAGAUUAAUUGACUUUCCUUGUUAAAAUUCAACUCUGUAGUACCGUCUCUAACAUUUUUCUUCUUCAUUUUACUCAAAUUUCAGUUCCCGGUGACAAGAGUGCCAUGAAUCCAAGUGGAAUCCGACUUGGAACACCAGCCCUCACAACUCGCGGAAUGCAAAAGGAGGAUAUGGAGAAAGUUGCUAAUUUUAUACAUGAAGGUUUGUGAAAAUAAAUCACCUCCUUUUUUUUCAAGAAUAUUGAAGAGCAAUUGCAGUCGAAAACACGAAGCCCCAUUUUCAACCCAUUCGUACAAUGUUUGAACACUACCUUGAGAAAGAAAGUCACAUUCGAAUAGACCAAACAGCCUUCUCUGAGGUCUCUCAGCUUAUUUUGCUUGUUUGCUCCUUUAUCAGCUGUUUAAAUGUAACACAAAAAUCAUAUAUUUUUCUAAUACACUGCAGAUUUUACUAAAAAAAAAAUCAGUUUAAUUUCAAACUCCGCCAAUGCACUUAUGAUUUUCAAGCGAUUGUGUUGUUAAAAGCAAAUCCUCCCUGUUUGCUCGAAAAGAAGUUUACAGCAGCCUUGUUGGAAUCACCGUCCUGUAAUUUAUUUUUUUUCACAUGUUUCAUAGGAGUUCAAUUGGCUCUUGAAAUUCAGAAAGUAUCUGGACCCAAAAUUGUUGAUUUCAAGAAGUUGGUGAAGAAGAUGCCGACACCCGUAAAAAGAUAUCCGAGCUCCGUUCACGAGUAGAAGACUUUGCUGUGAAAUUUCCUCUUCCGGGAACCUGAUUACUGAUUUAGGGUCAGUGUUAUUUCAUGGACAAAAAAAUCAAGUUCUCAUCACUAAAAUCAUGCUAUAUUCAAGCGCUUGCUUAGGUCUUUCUAUACGCCUCCUUUUCUCCUCCCCCUUGCUGAAAACUGCCUUAUCAUCGAAAAAUGAAGUAUUAUUUUAAAAUAAGUAUGGUCGUUUUUGUAUAUUUUUAGUUUUACAUUGUGCCUUUGAAUCUCAGUGCAUUGAUACUCUUUCUUUUACAAAAGAUUUUAAUAUUUACACAUCAAUUUUAGAUAAAUUUUUAAUGCUCCGUAUUUUUUUAGUGUCUGAAAAUCAUAUUGUAUACUUUUUGUAUUUUUCUCACUUUAUUGUAAGAAAAUUACCCUAAUACAUAAUUAAUUUAAUAUUAUUUUAGGAUGAUUACCAUUCCAUGUUCCUGUAUGGCUUUCAUUACCAAUGAAUUGUGAUAGUUUAUAAACGUACAUUUCUGUGAAUUGUCAUAAAAAUAAGGAACCAUGAUUUAUAUUGUGCCAUACUUUAAUGCAUUGACUUGCUCUCUAAAAUGUAAAACUUGUAAGAUCACUUUUAUUCUAUAAAGAAAAUCAAAUAUUUUUUUGUGUACCUACUUUCUUUAAAUACUUGGUCAAUAGUAUUUGGACGGUCUAAAAUCUUUCCAUUCCAUACCUAUUAUUUUCCGGAAAACUAUGAGGGUUAUUCAGAAAGUAAGAAAUCCUCUACAUUUUCUUGAAAAUUUGUGAUUCUUGUAACCCAAAACCAAAAAAAAUUACCAGAAAAACUUUGCAGAAAGCAAAAGUUCAAAAAUGAAAUCGCAAUGAAGGCAUCAUUACUUUCAAUUAAUAUUGAUGAAAAGAACAAAAAUAAAUGACAUCCUGUGUUUUGUGAUGUUUUAAAUUUGAUCAAGCUUAAAUCAAAUGCCAAUUUUGAUUUAGCUUUUGAACAUGCUUUUACUGCAUAAUCUUUUUACAUGAAAGAAAUAACAUGUAACAUUGCAGUGAUACUUUUAACGACUUGUCUCUUAUGUGGCUCAUUUCAGCAUUUUCAGCCUUAUCUUUUUGAAAUGGGAAUGGGAGUAAGCUUAAUUGAACUCCACUUUUCUGUAAAUAAUUUUACAGACUUAAUAACAAUUAUUAAUAAGUUUUUGAAGCAGACCUGUCCCUACUAGAAAUCAGAAAAAAGCAAACUUCUGAUUGUUUCCAUCCGAGCAACAUGAUGAACGAAAUACUUAAUUAAAAUUGCAAUUUCAUAUCGAAAAGCUUUCUCCAAUUUCAUUUUCAGCUCCAAAUUUUCAUUCUUGGCUUAGUUUGUUCUAGAAAUCUACUGCCCUGAUUUUCAUGAUUUUUUGCUACCAACUCUAAUUACAACCCCUGGCCAGCCUGUUUUCUUUAAUGCUAGAAGCAGCAUUUUAGGUGUAUCCGAUACAAAAAAAAUUUUAAGAAAUACUCAUAUGAAAUAUAAAUUUACGUAAGUUUGACCAAAAUUUAGAACAAACUGCGUCAUUAUAUUCUUGUGUUUACCCACUGUAUUUUUUAGAAUUUAUAUGAACUUUAUAUUAGAUAUUAAUGUAACGUAAUAUUCAUGAAAAAUCUCGUAAAAAUUAUAGGAUUACUAAUGUUCAUAAAUGCUUCAGCUUUAAAAUCAGUAUGCGAUAAUCAAGUACUUAAAAAAUGUUUGAUUAUUAGGGCUGUGCGAAUAUUCGCAAUUCCGAAUAUUCGUGCCGCGAAUAUUCGGCGAAUAUUCGCUUCGUCUGCCUCGCGCACUAUUCGCAAAUUACGAAUAAUCGCGCCGUCGCGAAUAGUGAAUUUUUGAACCGACAUUUUCAAAUAUUCGCGGCAUCAAAACUGAUGA
rnacentral:lncRNA from 1 species